rnacentral:tRNA from 1 species
GAGGGUGCAGCUUAGUGGUAGAGUGCUUGCUUAGCAAGUGUAAAGCCCUGGGUUUAAUCCCCAGCACACACA